rnacentral:lncRNA from 1 species
CGGCCCCGGGGGGAAUGGAGGGGGGGGGAGCAGAGGGGAACACAGCCAGGUACACAGGAGCAGGGGCUGGUUCCUGCGGGGUUGGGGGGAUUCCAGGGGGCAUCAGGCGAGGGGGCUGAACAACGCGGGCCCUCAGAGAUGGGCGCAGAGCUGCUCUCACUUCUGCAGCCGCUUGAUGCGGGCCUCUACUUCAGCAAAGUUGUCCUCUACAACAGCCAGGUUCUCCUUCAUUGUCUUCUGGACCUCUGCCAGCAGCACAGUGUUAUCCUUCAGAGCAGCAGCCACCUCCUGCUGUGUGGUGUCCAGGUGCACCAGCACCUGCACAAAUCGUGAGGCCUGCUCAUGUAGGUCCCGGAGCGUCAGCAGCCGCUGCACCACGUCGGGCAGACUGCUGGCCAUGUGGUCCCAGCGCUGCAUCAUCUCGUAGACCUGAUGGAUCUUGCUCUGCGUGUCAGCAUCCUGCACGAUCGCUUUGUGCUUGGCAAUCUCAUUCACCUUCCCCAGGACGCUCUGCAGCCGGGCCUCCACUUGGUCCAGCACAGCUGCGUCCAGGAUGUUAACCUUGGCCUGCAGGAUCUGCACGGUCUCCACGAGGCUGGUGCCCUUCAGCCCAACUAGCAGAGGAUUCUGGCUGUCAGGCUCACAGCGCACCAUGGCCUCCAGCUGCGCCAGGCGCUUCUCCAGCUCUGCUAUCUUGGCAGUCUGGGAGAACUGGUCCUGCUCUGGCCUCCAGAACAGUUCGAAGGUGAGCGCGUCAGUGGUGGGCGCAGGGGCUUUGGGGGGGCUCUUUGCUGGCGCUGCCUUCUUGCACUUGGCUACUUCCAGCUGCUGCUGCAGGCGCUUCGCCAAGGCACCCUCAGGGUCCGCGAAGUCGAUGGCGGCAGUGGGGCCCAACAGCUUCUGCAGAUGGCACGAAACCAACUGCUGCUUCAGCCCCUCCAGCUGCCGGGCCAAAGCCAUGGGCGUCAGCUCUUCCUCGGCCGCCGACUCCUUCACGGCGCUCUGGAUCUGCUCCACAUCACGGAUCAGCUCCUGCACCUCGUGCUGCAGCCGCUGGUACCGCUGCUGGGGGGUCUCCUUGGCACCCAACCCCUCUCCCAGAAUUUCAUACUCCCCAGACUCAUAGCCAGUGGUUCUGCUCUUGCUGAUGCGGUCGGAGAAAUCCACGCCAUCGGUGCCCAGGCGUUUGUCCUUGAACUUCUCGAAGGCGGCGUUGGGGUUGAUGAUGAGGUGCUCCACGCUGGUGCUGGUGAGCUCCUCCGCCUCGAACUCGGCCUGGUCAUCCUCGGGGAGGUCGCUGGUCUCGUACACGUCGGGCUCAUUCCGGGCGAUGCCGGGCAGGUCCGCGUAUUUGGGGUCGGCCAUGGCUGCGGCGGGGGCCGUCA